UUCUUCUAAGCAAUGGCAGAACAAAAACUUGAGAAGCAUUAGAUGGCAUCAUCACACAGAAAGCAGGAAGUUCCAGUGUGUUUGAGUGUGAAACUGGAGAGACUCACAGUAACACAGAUCUACAGCUCAGAGCACAGAGAACAUUAACACACACCUGAUCUGACAUGGAGAAACAUCUGCUUAUGAUUUUAACUAUGAUUUCAGGUGUGAUGACUGCAGACCAGAUUAGACCAAAUCAAGAAAUUAGUGUGAUAAAGGAGGAUGCGACUGUGACCCUCAGCUGCUCAUAUGAUACAACCAGCAGUUAUGUUUACUGGUACAGACAGUAUCCUAAUGGAGAGCUUCGCUAUUUAAUAUACAAGGCUUCAUGGUCGAGUGUUGGAGGUGGGAGACCCGCUGAUCCUCGCUUUGAGUCGACUACAUCAAAAACAUCCACUGAACUCACUAUUACUGGUGUAACUCUGUCAGAUUCAGCUCUCUAUUACUGUGCUCUAAGAACUGGAGCCCAGUGAUACAAAGUCUAUGUGAAGCUGUACAAAAACUCAAAUUCUUUUCCCCUUUGAUCUCAAGCCACAUUAAUCCCACAAUCUAAAAUUCACACAAUUUAAUUACACUUGUGGAAACACCUGUGUGUGGUUACAGCUGAAAUUUUGUUCAAGUUAUAAAGGCAAAUGAACAUAGGCAUAU